rnacentral:tmRNA from 1 species
GGGGCUGAUUCUGGAUUCGACGGGAUUUGCGAAACCCAAGGUGCAUGCCGAGGGGCGGUUGGCCUCGUAAAAAGCCGCAAAAAAAUAGUCGCAAACGACGAAACCUACGCUUUAGCAGCUUAAUAACCUGCUUAGAGCCCUCUCUCCCUAGCCUCCGCUCUUAGGACGGGGAUCAAGAGAGGUCAAACCCAAAAGAGAUCGCGCGGAUGCCCUGCCUGGGGUUGAAGCGUUAAAACGAAUCAGGCUAGUCUGGUAGUGGCGUGUCCGUCCGCAGGUGCCAGGCGAAUGUAAAGACUGACUAAGCAUGUAGUACCGAGGAUGUAGGAAUUUCGGACGCGGGUUCAACUCCCGCCAG